CUCUGUGUCCAGCAUCAGGACUGGCUGUUUGUACCCAGAGUGUUCCUCAGUUGUGGUGCUUCCUGCAACUGCCUGAGCUGCCUCCAUAGACUCCCUGCAUGUGUGUGUGUACAGGCUUGUACUUGGAUCACGAACAUUGGGCUGUGCUAACUCAUCCAGCUCUAAGGAAAAAAAUAUCAUAUUCUUUGGUGGAGUCUAAAAUGAAAUUAAUUCAGCUCCUGGAAUAGUACUUAAAAGGUGUUUUUCUGUGGGCUUGUUUAAUGAACAGCUGCUUCCUAUUAAGGGAAGGGUAGAUCCUCUUUCUACGUUUUACAAAGGAAACUUAGGAUUAAUUAAAUUAAUUAUUCUACAUGGUAAUUAGUAGCCCUUGGAAUUUUCCACAUCCCUACAAGUUUGCAAGUCAGUUAUCAAGCUCACAAACAUAAGCUCUCUCUGCUUUCCUUGUCAUCUGUUUCAAAGCAAAAGCUGAGUUAAUUCUUAUCGCUCACUCUGCAAACAGAAGGAAAAGCAGGUGCCAUUUGGAAAGGCUGAAAUUAAGUAGAGUGGGGACUUUGGAGACCGAAGACCUCAGGAGGUUCUGUUCAAGCUUCAGGCCACAGUGAGGCAAAAGGGGUAUGCGUGGGAAGGAACUGCACAGCGUUCACAUUAUUUGACCCUAUACUCAAAGGCAUCACAACUCAGUGUUUAAUCAGAAACAUUGAAGCUUCUCAGUCUCCCUGUAAAAUGUUAUUUGAAAACCCUGUAAGAGUAUAAGUUUGAGCAGUGGGAUUGGCUCCAUCUCCUGGGCAGGUCUCACAGGCUCUUUUGGAGCCUGAGAUUGUCCCAGGGAAUACUGAGAAGGCAAGUGCUGAAGGGAAAACAGCUGUAAAUCCAACUGUCUUUUACAGGGCCUUGCUUGAAAAUGAGAAUUUUUUCAGAGAUUGUCUUGUUGUCUUGUUUCUGUGGGCUCACCGGUAUCAGUUCUUUCUCUCCCCACCACCAAAACAAGUGAGAAGUUAUCUAAACUUAAGUUUGACUAUAACAAAAACCAGGUUUGAUCUGAACUGCAUUUAGACAAAUUGAAUGCCCUUGUAUUAAUUAAUUAAUUAAUUGAAACACUAUUAAUUUUUAGAGAUUCAUUUAAAUUUUUAGAGAUCCCCUAAUAUUGUGUUUUUUAAAGAAAAAAUUCCUGUGUUUGUCUACCAUGGAGAAGGUCCCCCACAGGAAAGAAGCAGCCCUUAGAAGACCUCUACUUACACAGUCCUCUGGACAAAAAAAAAUAAUCUGGAAGGGGGGCAGGGAAGGUGCUCUCUAUUUCAAAGGAUUUUCUAUUAUUUUCAUCUCCUUCUUUCCUUCCUAUUUUUUCUGUGUGAUUUUCUUUGUUCUCUGUAAUGCCACUUCCUUAAGGUCAAUCUAUUGUUAUCCUGGAGUCUGAUUGAGAUAUCAGGCUGAGUCAUGCAAUGUUUGCCAACUCCACACCUUUCAGCAAUCUGACAUAGAGAGUGGAGGUAAAAUAGCUGUUUGUGAUUAUUACUGCUUCCUAAAUAAAGGCUGUUUUUAAAAAAAGAAAAUGAGCUAGAAAAGGAGCUGUUAAGAAAAUUAACUUUUCAAUGCAUUUUCUUAGAGUUUUCAUAAGCCUGUAAUGAAACUGCAGCUGUCCAGGGCCAGCAGCAUUCACAAAUAAUACCAUAGCAUUACAGGCAUGUGAGUUUAAGAGAGAGAACAGAAUGAAUUUAACGCAUAUAUUAAAUCCACUGAGGAUGCAGAAUAAGAAUCAAUAAGAGAAAAGAAUUUAAAAAUUCUGAGAGAUUACUGAAAAUCUAUCUUUCAUUUCAGAAAUAAAAUUUUACACUAACAACAUGCAAGAAACCCCACACCAAAUCCUUACCCAGAGAAGAAAAAGACUACACAAAGCCUAGCUUGUGUGAAUCAUAUCUACUGUGAGCCAUUAUUUGAGACACUAACCCUAAUUUUGUUUGCAGCAAUCUUGUAUCCCAAAUUAUUUUGCAUUUCCUUUAAACAGUUUCUAACAACUGCAUGAAACACCCAUAUUGCAGCCCAAAUGCUCAAAAGGGGCAUCCUGAGAUAGUUGCACAUGUGGUGGUGAGGUACAUGUUGAUUCAAAAUUUUUCCACCCAACUGAUAUUAUUGAAACUGUUAGAAAAAAAUAAAUUUCUGAUAAGGAAAAAUGCUGCUGAUCUGAUUGUGAAUGAACUAAAGCUCUGGCUAGAUACAUAGGCAUAUGUUUACUUUUGUUACCUUACAUCUACAAAGCAAAUUUUGAUAACUAAACCCAAACAGGAUUCUAUUUUUCUUUUCCCUUCCCUUUUGGAUUUGCCCUUGCAGUCAUUGCUCAAAAUUCCCUCCUCCAGUCCCUGAUGUAUCACAGGUGCCAGAGAUGCAGCUUUCAGGCUGUCCCUCCCUUAGUUUUUUAGGUGAUGUUUGUAAGCACACCUUUGCUGGGGAGGGGAGCAGUAGGAAUAACUGUACUUAAAAGUGACUGUUUUCAAACUGUGUGAAUUCUGGUAUCAUGAGAGGAAAAACACUGAUCUAACUCUUCAGCCCGCAUCUCUGGCAUCUUGAGACUUUGGUAAAUUUAAGAAUAGUUCUUUCAAAAUAUGUAGGUUCAGACUACCUGCGUCACUGUUUCUAUAAAAAGAUCGCUAUAACUAAUGAUUUGCCCAAAUGGUCACAUUGACCCUGCUGUGCCAUGUGUUGUUGUCAUGGUGAUGCUGUUGUGGGUGUUGUCUGAACAGGAAGUGGAUGAGGCCUUCUGGAGGCAGCUUGAAGCAGACUCAAAGUCACAGGAACUGGUUCUUGUGGGGACUUUAGGUACCCUGAUAUCUGCUGGAGAAGCAACAGAGUGAAACAAAUAGUCUGUGAGGUUCCUGGAAAGAACUGAUGACAGAUUCUUGUCAUAGGUAGUCAUGGACCCCAGAAAGAAUGGUUUGCUGCUCAGCCUCAUACUAACAAACAGGAAAGGCCUCACUGGAGAUGUGAAGGUUGUGGGGCAGCCUUGGCUGAAACAGCUGUAACAUUGUGGAGUUCAGUAUCAGUCAGGGAGGAGGCAGGAUGGCACAUAGAGAUUGCAGCCAUGGACUUCAGGUGAGAUAACUCUAUUCUCUUCAGGGAUCUUCUUGGAAAAAUCCCAUGACAACAGGCCAUGCAGGGAAGAGGGAUCCAAGAGAGUUGGAUGAUUAUUAAGGACCACUUCCAGGCUUAAAAAAGAUGCAUCCCAAUGAGCAAGAAAUCAGGUAAAGGAGGAAAGAGACCUGUGUGGAUGAAUAAAGAUCUUCUGUUGUUAUUCAGGUGUAAGCAGGAAACACACAGGAGAUGGAAGCAGGUCAGGCAACUUGGAAUGAAUACAAAGAGGUUGUCAGAGUAAGUAGAAAUGAGACAAGGAAGGCCAAGGCCCAUCUGGAAUUUAACCUGGCCAAGGACAUCCAGGAGAACAAGGAGAGCUUUCUCAAACAUAUCAAUAGCAAAAGGAAAAGUAAGGAUAAUGUGGGUCCAUUACUAAAUGGAGGAGAGAGCCCUGGUAACAGAGUGCAGAGACCGCAGAGUUACUAAAUGCCUUUUUUGUAUUGGUCUUCAUGGGCAAGACCAACACUAAGGAUCUCUGGCACAAGAGAUCAGGACAAAGGGAUGUUGAAAAAACCUUUGUCAAAGAGGAUUGGGUUAGAGAGCACCUAGACAAAACUGAAAUACACAAGUCCAUGACCCCUGAUGGGAUCCAUUCAUGAGUGCUGGUGGACAGGCAUAGUGAGGUUCUCACAAUCAUCUUUGAAAAGUCAUGUCAAUCAAGAGUGAUACCUGAGGGCAGGAAUAAAGCAGAUGUUAGCCCAGGCUUCAAAAGGAGCAAGAAGGAAGAUCCAGGGAACUACUGGAUCAGUCACCUCUCUUUAUCCCCUGGAAACAUGAUGGAAUGCCUCUUUCUGGAGGCAAUUUCUAUUACAAAAGUGUGAUCAGGAGUAGUCAGCAUGGAUUAACUAAGAGUAAACCAUACUUGGCCAGCCUGAUUGCCUUCUAUGAUGAGCAACUACCAGGAUGGAUGAGGGGAGAGCAGUGGAUAUUGUCUACGUUGACUUCAAGACUUCUGACAUUGUCACUCACAACAUCCUCACAGGCAAAUGCUGGAAGUGUGGAGUAGGUGAGUGGACAAAGAGGUGAUUUGAGAACUGGCUCAGAUCCCAGAGGGUUGGGACAGCAGAUCCCAGAGGGUUGUAAUCAGUGGCACAAGGUCUAGCUGGAGGCCUGUCACUGGUGGUGAUCCCCAAGGUUCAGUACUGGGCUCGAUAUUGUUUAACUUUUUACCAAUAGCUUGGAUGAAGGGGCAGAGGCCUCCUCAGCAAGUUCUCUGAUGAUACAAAGCUGGGAGGAGGGGUUGAUACUCCAGAGUUCUGUGCAGCCCUUCAGAAGGACCUUGAC